UAAAUUGAAAAGUUACACAGAAAUGUGCUAUUUUGUCAGCUGAUCAAAUGACACCUGUUUUGUAUAGCUCUUGCAUGUGCAGUUUUACAUGUGCCAGUGUGCAUGCGGAGGCCAGAGUUCAACCUGAGGUGUCAUUCCCCAGGAGCCAUACACUUUGUUUUGUUUUGAGCCUGAGUCUCUCACCUGCUUGGGGCUCACCAAUAGGCCAGGCUGGGUUCAAUGAGUCUCAGGGCUCCAACCGCCUCUGCCUCCCCAGUCUUGGAAUUAGAAGAACACUCCACCAUGAUUAGCUGUUUAUUCUUUUUUAAUUUUUAAUCAUGUAUAGAUGUGUGUCUGUACAGGUGAGAGCAGGUGCCUAUAGAAACCAGAAGAGGUCAUCAAAUCCCUUGAAGCUGGAGAUACAGGCAGUUGUGAACUGCCUGAUAUAUGUGCUAAGAACUGAAUUCAGGGUGUUGUACUGGCCUGGAACUUGCCAAGUAGCCUGCGUUGGCCCACUGAGUGAGCCCUACAGAUGUGUCCGUCUCUGCCUCCCCAGCACUGGGAUUACAAGCUCAGGAGACUGUGCCUGGGGUCCUGCCUCCAGGACUCUCCUCUUCACACAGGAAAUGACCAAGCAGCCACAGUGUUUGUCUCAUGGAUGUAUAUAAGUUACUUUUCCUGCUCCUGUGUCCAAAUAAACGGAAAAGGGCUCACA